UACGAGGGGUGCAAACGUUAUUCGGAUUUACUGGGUGUAAAGGGUGUGUAGACGGUUUGUUAAGUUUGUUGUUAAAUCUUCCGGCCUAACCGGAAGCUUGCGAUGAAAACUGGCAGACUUGAGGGUGAAAGAGAGAAGUGGAAUUCUCGGAGUAGCGGUAAAAUGCGUAGAUCUCGAGAGGAACACCGAUGGCGAAAGCAGCUUCUUGGUUCACUCCUGACGUUGAGACACGAAAGCGUGGGGAGCAAACAGG
rnacentral:misc_RNA from 1 species